UACGGAGGGUGCGAGCGUUGUCCGGAAUCACUGGGCGUAAAGGGCGCGUAGGCGGCGCGGACAGUCAACGGUGAAAGCUUGGGGCUCAACCCCGAGUCGGCCGUCGAUACUCCCGGGCUUGAGCACUGUAGAGGCAGGUGGAAUUCCGGGUGUAGCGGUGGAAUGCGUAGAGAUCCGGAAGAACACCGGUGGCGAAGGCGGCCUGCUGGGCAGUAGCUGACGCUGAUGCGCGACAGCGUGGGGAGCAAACAGG
rnacentral:rRNA from 1 species